rnacentral:rRNA from 1 species
UAAGGAAUAUUGGUCAAUGGACGCAAGUCUGAACCAGCCAUGCCGCGUGAAGGAUGAAGGUCCUCUGGAUUGUAAACUUCUUUUAUCUGGGACGAAAACGGGAUUUUUAUCUCAAUUGACGGUACCAGAGGAAUAAGCACCGGCUAACUCCGUGCCAGCAGCCGCGGUAAUACGGAGGGUGCGAGCGUUAUCCGGAUUUACAGGGUUUAAAGGGUGCGUAGGUGGGCUUAUAAGUCAGUGGUGAAAUCUCCGAGCUUAACUUGGAAACUGCCGUUGAUACUAUAGGUCUUGAAUUAUCUGGAGGUAAGCGGAAUAUGUCAUGUAGCGGUGAAGUGCUUAGAUAUGACAUAGAACACCAAUUGCGAAGGCAGCUUACUACAUAUAAAUUGACGCUGAGGCACGAAAGCGUGGGGAUCAAACA